GAUGAACGCUGGCGGCGUGCCUAAUACAUGCAAGUCGAGCGAACAGACGAGGAGCUUGCUCCUCUGACGUUAGCGGCGGACGGGUGAGUAACACGUGGAUAACCUACCUAUAAGACUGGGAUAACUUCGGGAAACCGGAGCUAAUACCGGAUAACAUGUUGAACCGCAUGGUUCAACAGUGAAAGACGGUCUUGCUGUCACUUAUAGAUGGAUCCGCGCCGCAUUAGCUAGUUGGUAAGGUAACGGCUUACCAAGGCAACGAUGCGUAGCCGACCUGAGAGGGUGAUCGGCCACACUGGAACUGAGACACGGUCAAGACUCCUACGGGAGGCAGCAGUAGGGAAUCUUCCGCAAUGGGCGAAAGCCUGACGGAGCAACGCCGCGUGAGUGAAGAAGGUCUUCGGAUCGUAAAACUCUGUUAUUAGGGAAGAACAAAUUUGUAAGUAACUAUGCACGUCUUGACGGUACCUAAUCAGAAAGCCACGGCUAACUACGUG
rnacentral:rRNA from 1 species